rnacentral:misc_RNA from 1 species
GAAAUGCGAUAAGUAAUGUGAACUGCAGAAUUCAGUGAAUCAUCGAAUCUUUGAACGCACAUUGCGCCCGUCAGCAUUCUGGCGGGCAUGCCUGUUCGAGCGUCAUUUCAACCCUCAGGACCCCCCUUUCGCGGGGAGGGACCUGGCGUUGGGGAUCGGCCCGCCCCCCGCGGCGGCGCCGUCCCCGAAAUCUAGUGGCGGUCUCGCUGCAGCCUCCCCUGCGUAGUAGUUACAACCUCGCAUCGGAGCGCGGCGCGGCCACGCCGUAAAACCCCCGACUUUCUGAACGUUGACCUCGGAUCAGGUAGGAAUACCCGCUGAACUUAAGC